rnacentral:lncRNA from 1 species
CCCCACUGGAUCUCAUGAGUUUUUUGCCCCAGAAAUAGAGAAUCAAAUGAGAUGAGGUUUGCUCAUGUCAUGAUGUAUUCAUUCUCUUGACUUUCCCAAGAAAGUAACUCUGUGGCAGAACUGUAGUCUGUGGGACUGCCUGUUUAAUUUCCAGUAAGCAAUGAGAAAUGUUUGCAGAUUUAUCUCUUUCCUCUUACGACUCCGACAUAUUAUGAGCAGCACCAGACAACAUUGGCUUUUGUAAAUGAUGUACAAACACAUGGAUGCACUUUUUGAGCAGCAAGAGGUGAAACAAGAUAUUACAGUGAUAUCCCACGGUACAAAACUAAGCCGACUGCUUCCAUCAGUAGAUGAAUUGGCCAACGUGGAUCCAUGAAUUGUUCCUGCCAUUAUGAAGACACAAAGGAAGACGUCUCAGCUUGCUCACCGCAGUGUCAUUCACUCUCGCUGGCAGCCAGGUCCUCCAGCACCCUUGUUUGGGUCUGUGUUCCUUCUGUCAGCUUAGGUUUUUCCAUAGCCAUCAAGAUCUCUAAAUAUCUCUUCAGUUCCUCACUGCGUACAGAUUCAAUUAAUCUGGAAUAUGGUGGUGCUGUGGAAGAGAAUGCUCCUGCAAAGGAGACUGUUCUGUUAACAGAAAGCUACGGAAGUAUCCUGCAAGUAUCAUUUGUUAGACUGUUGCUUCCACUACCAUACCUGAAAACCUGGAAUCAUCAGUCUGUAACGAAGCCCCCAUCUGCAGUGGUGCAGCCCCUCAAGUUUGAGUUGUUUUGAGUUCCUCUCUCAGACUUUUGAUACUUAAUCUCAAUUGCUAAAUUGACUCAGUGUGAUGCAGAAUAUCUUCUCUUUAUUUGUGCUGUUAUCAGAAAAAUCUGGGAAGAAAACUCUCCAACUCCAAUGUGAUGUUAGCAGUAGCAUUCCUUUAUUCUUGUAAUACAUACUGGGCGACUUGACAAAUGAAGCACAUGCUCCCAGAUUUCAGGUUCUGCGUUUAAACAGUUAAGACAUACACGUGCAAUACAUUGGCAUACAUACUCACCCUUGUCAAAGAACUCAUUAACAUAUUCUAAUGUCCCUCUGAGCGUGAGCGGUCAUGUCUACAGUGGUCGUACCACCUCCUGCUCCUCCCCUUUGUUUCUCCUUCACUUUCAUCACAGUGUCCUUUCACCAACCUUUUUGCUGUUUCUCCCCAGUUUGACUUGUUAUGCCAUAAUGAGCAACAGUUCAUAUGAAGCCCAAGAACAAGCACCUGGUGGAUGCAAAGAUAAAAGCAGCCAAUUGCAACUUCAGUGCUUCAAUGAAGUGGGGAUUGUUCAGAAAAACAAGACUGUUCACAUACCAAGAAAAGCUAAAUUAGAAAAAUUUAGAACUAUCACAUAUUAAUUCCUUUUUGCUAAACUAAUAUAAUGGUCCUUACGCUGAUAUAUUGAUCCCUAUUGCUAAGCCAACCUCUAUCAGUGCUACAAAAUAUUGAUAGAUAUGCAGAUGUUGAAAACACUUUGGAAACGUUAACUACUAUUCAGAUUUUCCAUCUCUACUUCUUAGGUUCUUUUUAAAAGCUGUAAGAAUUGACAGAUUUUGUCCACCAAGCUAUAUUCAGCUUACUAGUAUAGUCAUCAUUAUUGAAUUUCUGAUAUUACUUGCUAUGGCUAAUGUUCUUCAAAGUGCUAGAUGCAUUUAGAAUGGUGUAUGAGCAGUAAGCCCCCUGUGUGUGGGUCCAUGGGUUCCUCUGACCCAUCAGUCACAGUUCUAGGUUGAACCAAGCUGGAACCCUGACGUACAUACACGCAGUUCCUGAGAAACAUACUGAAUUAAAGUGAUUUGACCACCCAAGAAUUACAACCAAGUGACUUGCUUUCUAAUCUCUAGGUUUGCUACAUGGUGGUCAGAGUAAGGAAAUAAUUGCAAUAGCCAAAGACAACUGCAAUAAUAUAAUCCUUAUGGGGAGAAAGCCCUUAGUAUGGGUUUGAUGCCGGUUCACACUGGACUUCUCACAGCUCAGAAAACAACACAUCCUGGGACAUGCACUGUUCCCAGCAGUGACCAACUCUGUGCACACAGUUCUGUCUGAGCAAAUGAGAAGGACAUGAUUGCUUUUGUUGCAGCAGAAGAGACUAAAGAGGAUUUAAGAGAAUACUUCACAUUACAGUACGUAGAAGCUCUGGCUCUACACUAUCUUAGCUGACUUGUAGCAACUCAUCAAACCCUGAUGUCACAGCUUUGCUGCAGAGCUCUACAGAUACAUCCUUACUUCCAGCUAAUUCAAACUUCCCUGCAGAUACUGCUAUCAAAACUUUCUUUGCUCACAAACAAAACAUUAUUACCUGAGAGAGUUACAUAGGGCAAGUGAAUGCUCAAUCGUAGCUCUGCAGUGUGGCCUCUCAUGCACAAGCAAAUCCACGUGCUAAGUACCUCACACAGUAAAAAUAACGGUAUGUAGUUUACUGUUGUAGACAGUAGUUAAUGAUUUUCCCAAAUGCUCUGUAUUUGUACUGCUAUUAAAAAAUUACUAUUUUUGUUAAGACAACAUUUAGGUGAGGGUUUGGGGGUUUGCUAUGGUCUUAUAUUCGUAUGGAAACUAUUAUAAUGCUCACGUGCCCCUAACUUCUCAAUCAUAACCUGUCAUAUAGCAGGCAGGAAAUUCUGAGAGAUUCCAGAGACCUCUGACUCAGAAACAUAGAAGGUUUGAUCUCAUGCCAAUGUAGUUUCAAUAUGGUAAUUGGGGAAAGCAAAAAACCUUUUCUUUGUCUGCAGCACUUUCAAAAUGGCAUAACCUAGACAAUAGGAGAAGCAAGACCACAGUGAUUUUAGUGCUAUAUUAGUAGGUUUUCCCACAAAGAAUAUCUUAAUAAGGACCUUAAGAAAGUAUCCUCUAGACAACAUGUUCUUUGCUGUGUAUUCAGUGUAGAGCAAUGUGUGUGAGUAUGAACUGAGCUCCACUGACUUAAUUACAUGAAAUUCCUGGUUUUCCUCUGAAAUGGGAUAGUGAGUGAGCCUCCUCAACAAACUCUCAACAGACGGUAGCUGCCAACAAAAUAAAUGAGUUUCCUUGGUUUGUUACCUUCA